rnacentral:lncRNA from 1 species
UUUAUUGGAUAAACAGUUUUCAUUACAUUAAAUAAACAAUUUGCAUUUCAUUGAAACAUUUAGAGCUUAAUAACUCAAUCAUACUUUGUACAUUUGGAAAGUAAGCCCACCUGUAUAGGCAAAGCCUGUCGUUUAACCUUAUCUCUGAAUCGGAAUAGCAGUGCUAAUCCUUCUGAUGCUCAAAGCCUACAAGAAAUCUAUUCUCAAUAGGUCUCCUUGAAUCUAAUCUUAAGUCAUGGUGUAGUGCUUAAUAUUCUAUGAUUCACUUAGCCGGGUUUUCAAAAUUUAAUGAAUAAAUAAUUGAAAACAUUUCUCUUGAGUUAAGAACACCAACAAUAUUCUUACUCGACUUUCUUUAAUAAUUGGAAUUAUAAUGAAAACCAAUUUAAAUCAUGAGUACUUUUAUUUGCAAAAAUGCAUAUGCAAAUGCAUGUCAUGCUUAGCAUAUAAUAAGUAAUCACUUAAAAUAUGCACAUAAUAAUAAUAUAAUAUUAUUAUGCAAA